rnacentral:rRNA from 1 species
GAUGAACGCUGGCGGCGUGCCUAAUACAUGCAAGUCGAGCGAACGGACGAGAAGCUUGCUUUUCUGAUGUUAGCGGCGGACGGGUGAGUAACACGUGGAUAACCUACCUAUAAGACUGGGAUAACUUCGGGAAACCGGAGCUAAUACCGGAUAAUAUUUUGAACCGCAUGGUUCAAAAGUGAAUGACGGUCUUGCUGUCACUUAUAGAUGGAUCCGCGCUGCAUUAGCUAGUUGGUAAGGUAACGGCUUACCAAGGCAACGAUGCAUAGCCGACCUGAGAGGGUGAUCGGCCACACUGGAACUGAGACACGGUCCAGACUCCUACGGGAGGCAGCAGUAGGGAAUCUUCCGCAAUGGGCGAAAGCCUGACGGAGCAACGCCGCGUGAGUGAUGAAGGUCUUCGGAUCGUAAAGCUCUGUUAUUAGGGAAGAACAUAUGUGUAAGUAACUGUGCACAUCUUGACGGUACCUAAUCAGAAAGCCACGGCUAACUACGUG